rnacentral:rRNA from 1 species
AGUGAACGCUGGCGGUAGGCCUAACACAUGCAAGUCGAACGGCAGCACAGUAAGAGCUUGCUCUUACGGGUGGCGAGUGGCGGACGGGUGAGGAAUACAUCGGAAUCUACUUUUUCGUGGGGGAUAACGUAGGGAAACUUACGCUAAUACCGCAUACGACCUACGGGUGAAAGCAGGGGAUCUUCGGACCUUGCGUGAUUGAAUGAGCCGAUGUCGGAUUAGCUAGUUGGCGGGGUAAAGGCCCACCAAGGCGACGAUCCGUAGCUGGUCUGAGAGGAUGAUCAGCCACACUGGAACUGAGACACGGUCCAGACUCCUACGGGAGGCAGCAGUGGGGAAUAUUGGACAAUGGGCGCAAGCCUGAUCCAGCCAUACCGCGUGGGUGAAGAAGGCCUUCGGGUUGUAAAGCCCUUUUGUUGGGAAAGAAAAGCAGCAGGUUAAUACCCCGCUGUUCUGACGGUAGCCAAAGAAUAAGCACCGGCUAACUUCGUG